AGAGUUUGAUGGUGGCUCAGGACGAACGCUGGCGGCGCGCCUAACACAUGCAAGUCGAACGAGAGAUGAGGAGCUUGCUCUUCAGAUCGAGUGGCGAACGGGUGAGUAACGCGUGAGGAACCUGCCUCAAAGAGGGGGACAACAGUUGGAAACGACUGCUAAUACCGCAUAAGCCCACAGCUCGGCAUCGAGCAGAGGGAAAAGGAGCAAUCCGCUUUGAGAUGGCCUCGCGUCCGAUUAGCUAGUUGGUGAGGUAACGGCCCACCAAGGCGACGAUCGGUAGCCGGACUGAGAGGUUGAACGGCCACAUUGGGACUGAGACACGGCCCAGACUCCUACGGGAGGCAGCAGUGGGGAAUAUUGCACAAUGGGGGAAACCCUGAUGCAGCGACGCCGCGUGGAGGAAGAAGGUCUUCGGAUUGUAAACUCCUGUUGUUGAGGAAGAUAAUGACGGUACUCAACAAGGAAGUGACGGCUAACUACGUGCCAGCAGCCGCGGUAAAACGUAGGUCACAAGCGUUGUCCGGAAUUACUGGGUGUAAAGGGAGCGCAGGCGGGAGAACAAGUUGGAAGUGAAAUCCAUGGGCUCAACCCAUGAACUGCUUUCAAACUGUUU
rnacentral:rRNA from 1 species